AGGGUGUAAACGCUGCAGACUUGGUGUUGGGAACCCUUCGGGGGUGCUCAGUGCCGGAGAGAAGUUGUUAAGUCUGCUACUUGGGGAGUACGUCCGCAAGGAUGAAACUUAAAGGAAUUGGCGGGGGAGCACCGCAACGGGAGGAGCGUGCGGUUUAAUUGGAUUCAACGCCGAAAAACUCACCAGCAGCGACUGUUACAUGAAAGUCAGGUUGAAGACUCUGCUAGAUUUUUCAGAGAGGUGGUGCAUGGCGUCAGUGACU
rnacentral:rRNA from 1 species